CUUGGUGCUGAACGACGAGUCGAGCAUGAUAUUGCCUGGCUUGAUGUCCCCGUGCACGAUGCACUGCUCCCACUCUCCGUGAAGGUAGCGCAGCGCGGACCCCAAGCCGAGGAUUAUCUUGUACCUCUGUGGCCAUGUCAGACAUCUAUCCUUGUUGUAGAGGUGCCUGUCUAGGCUGCCCUCUGCGACGAGCUCGUAGACGAGCAGGAGCCCCUUGCGGCUGUCGCACCAGCCCAGCAGCUGCACAAGGUGCGAUGCUUCAGUCUGCUGAUGAUCCUCACCUCGGCCUCGAACUCCCUCCUGCCUUGUGCCGAUGAUUCUGCUGACAACAUCUUUACCGCCACUGCACGACGGUCGGCCGCGAGUUUGAGCGUGAGGUGCCCCUGGUAAACGCCCCCGAAGCCGCCUCGCCCGAGCUUCUUCUCCUCUGCAAAAUUGCUCGUCGCUGCGACCAGCUCGUUGAAGGUGUACCGUCUGGGGCCGCCGGCAGCCACACCUCGCUCUAGGCCAGCUCUGUCCACAUACUGUUCUUGGCUGUCCUCAUUUGAUCUUCUUCUCUUCCGUCGCCACCAUACAAAUACCACAGAAGCACAUGCCAACAUAAAAAGCAAAGGAACUAGUACGGAUAGUAGGAUUGUCACUAACUUUUUGUGUUUGUUGCUGGUUGAAAGGUCAGGUAAACUGGAAUUGAAUGACCAUGACAGUAUCUGGUUCAGCACGCCGGAAGUAGCAGUUGUCGCCGAGGAGAAGCCUACAGAGACCUCCUCCGGUAAAUACAUGCGCAGAUCAACGGUUGCAUUGACCUGGUACAAGGCAUCGUCGAUGAGGAGAUCAACGGCCAACAUCUUGGAGUCAUUGCGGUACGUCACAGUGGCUUCCAUAACAAUGAAGGACGUGAGGUUCUUGUCCGGCGUGGUCGUCGUGGCCGUGGACGCCGUGGAGUUGAGAGAGUUGACGUCGAUGCCAACAUGGUUACCGUUGAUGUCGCCAAAUCUCUCGCUUUGCUUAGUGUCAAACUCGACGGCCACGAUCCGGCUAUGGCCCGUCCCGUUGGUGAAGUCCGGGAGGAGGCCUAGGCUGCGUCCGGUGCUGUUGGGCGGGAUCACCGAAGGGAAAUGGCCGAGGAAGAAGGCUAUCCCAGAGCCGUACAUCUCAGUGUAGGUGAUUAGGAAGGAGAAGUUGGUGGUGAAGCUAGCCAUCUCGCCGGUGGCGCUGUUCCAUAGGGGUAUUUUGUACCUGUAGGACGCCCGGCCGAUGCUGUCGUUCUGAUUACUUUGUGUCAGCUCCAGCCUUGACGGACUGAUGUAUGCAUCGCCGGCGAGGUUGAUGGAUGAACCGGCGCUGGGGUCGGAGAAGUUGAGGUUGAAGGAGAGGGAGAAGGCCCAGUACGGCGGCGCAUGGCAGAGGCAUAGCAACACCAGGACUAGAGUUGUAGGACUAGGACGAGGGUGAGAGCCCAUCGAUUCUUGGUGUGUGUUUUGGUGUUUGGUGUUUGGGAAAGAGGAAGCUUGAGGAGGAUAAAAAUGGCAAAUGAUUCCAGUCGGCCGACUGACCGAGAUGCACGCUGCCAUCUACUAGCAAUACGCUGUCCUAUCCUUAUCCUCAUAUCUUGACGAGAGCCAUCAGCCACUCGUUUGGACGGCACUGGUUUUUCUGACGGCGAGGAAUGUCGCACGUCAUGGCAAAGAAAAUCACUCAGUGCCUUCAAACUGCGGCCACCAAGCAGCGAUGAAUGCAUCCAUCCAGUCGCAUCACGGUGACUGGGGAAACGCGCUAGCUAGCUUCCCAACGGCUCCUGGUUCACGAUCCUUUGGCGAGCGUGGAACUGGUCAGGUAAUCUAGAGCAGAGUAUGCGCGAGAAGGACAGGGCAUGAACCUUCGGGAACUCAUAUUCUGGCCUUUUAAGGCCAAUCCAACUGUCUACUCCAUACUAGUAGCCUUGCACGUGCACGCACGUCUCUAUAAGACACAUCUUAUGAUUCAGUUAAAUGAUACUUUUGAUUUUACAUACACAAUAGAUAGUAUAUAGUAUAGAUAUAUAGUGUGUCAUUUAUUUUUAGUUUGGCUAAUCUGUAAGCACCUGGUAUGAACACCAAGGGAAACACCGCAUUGCAGCCACGGACUAAUGGUUGAACAUUACACCUUCGUAACCAUGUCAUGUUUAGGCUUCACAUGAUUCUUUUUCUUUUCAAAAAUAUGCCUGAAUGACUAUGAACAGACAAUGAUCGAGCCGCCGUACUCGUAAACCAGCGCUAAUCAUCAUGGAGAGAAAAGUACAGACAGUAAUAUCACUAAAAAAUCGAAACCAAGCUGACCAAAACAUUUGGUAAUGUGGUGUUCCAAUUAUCAGGAGAGAAUCUCUGGUGUACUUUUAUGUUCAAAAGAAUCAUUUUCAUCAUCUACCAUCUUAACCUUGUAGACCAAGCACCCGGAUUAGCUCAUCUCGCGUCAAACAGAAUAAACCAUUAUCAUCGUCUAGCAUCAUAGAUGGUACUUCCAAUAUAUAUUUUCCAAUGAACUCUAGCCUAGAAACAAUCAACUACAUCAGAAUAUCCUACUCUUACUAACCAAGAUCAGAAUAUCGUCUAAACCAACAUCUUAACUUCUCAAUGGUGAAAAUAAAAGAGAAAUAUGGACAAAUUCAAGCAUGAAGAAAAUGGACUACAUAAUAAAGACCUCCAAGUUAGUAGUACCUAUGAAGAGAUGGGUGAAAAUAUUAAGAGGUUGUCACAAUGAAAAUUAUGAAAGAUAAUAAAUAAAAAAGAAAGGUUGCAGCAACAGCAUUAGUAUAUAAUUACAGUGGUCAAUUGUCCAUCAGUAGAUAUGUGGAUACCGUAUAUAUAAAAAAGAAAGCUUGCAACAGCAGCAUUAGUUUCUUAAUCUCAUCUCAGCCCGUUCUCAUCUCGUUUUCACGCCAGUAUCUUCAGCUCUUCAAGCUUGUUUUGAAAUCAUGGAGCAAAAAAAUUGACCACAAACAGAGUGAGAUGCAUGAUAGAUCGCACCUCCACACCACUACAAUCGUCCGCCUUCCUGAUGCCACUGGCUUGGACAGGAGGUUUAUCCUGCUCGGCCGACGCCGGCCUGACCAAGUAGGACGUCUGCAACAAUGUAAUGGCUCCUGGCUGAAGAUGGCUCACAAUAUAACUUUUUUGCUACCCACCAUGGUAUUCGAAGUAUUGUUAGUUCCUUUUUGAUGUGUCCAUGCCAUCUAUUGCGUUAACUCGGAAGAACAAGGAGAAGUUAAAAGGAAAAUGCUGCUACAGAGCAAAUGCUGCUACACCCGAGUAACUUUUUAAAAUACAUAAUUAUAUACCGGAAAAACCAGAUCAUUCCUUUUAGGAAUGUGUCAUUCAUGCCCUUCUUCCACCCUGACUUCACCGGGUUCAUCUUCGUGCACAUAGUCACCAUGUGAAAGUAGCAAUUAGUGUUUAUCAUAGCAGACAAAACCAGUUUAUUGUUCUAACGGAGAAAUGCCCUCGGAAAUAAAACUUAAUAAUUCAGAAUGAAUGUGCAGGCUAUUAACAAUACAGCUGAAGUGUCACACGGAAUCAAAAGUAAAAUUUUAUUCUUAGGUUUAAUCUAGACCAGUUAACUGUGGCUCUAAUGUUCAAGAAUGUAGUGGCCCUUGAAUCUUAAUCAGCUAACAGAGGAUCACACGCGUACAUUGGAAAGAAUACUCACCCACUGAAUUCGCCACGGCCCACCUCAUCGAGUUGGUGUGUGUGGGGGGUGUACAAUCUGGGGCGUAAUCGAACCACCAUCUUGUUUUUCUCACAAAUCCAAAAGUGUAUACAAAGUUAGAACCACGCUGAUCCAGCUAAAGCAAAUGGAGGGUAGAAGAAACUCGAUUGCAAGAGCAGAAUCCGCCAUGCCUGGUCCAAUAAAAAGAGAUCAGAGUGUUCACCUACAUGAGAAAAUGCCCCCACCGCACCCCAUCCGAAUCCCAUCCAGUACCACACGUGCAGGAGUAGUCCCACUCACAUCACUAAUGUAUAUUAUGGAAAUCAUAGCACCAAUUUUCAUCCAUAUUCAACAAACCUGGCUAGCUCAUACCUAAUCAGUGAACACUGUAACCAGAGCGGCUGAACCUCUGACCUCAUGUGCAAGAAUCUGGCUAGAUCAUAUCUAAUCACUGAAUACUGUAACCAGUAGACAUCACCCCUUCCAUUACUUAGAAUGGAGAACUAUGAUAGGAGCAGUAGUAGUCCCACUUACAUCACUGAUGUACGUAUAUCACCACCAAUCUUCAUGCCUGUGCAAGAAGCUGGCUAGUUUAUAUCGAGUCACUGACUACCAUAGACAGUGCGCCUAAACCUCAGGCCUCAAAGAUGUUCACAAUAACAUUAGAUGGGUAAUUUGCUCCCCAAGCGAUUACCGACCAAUCAACACCUAACAUAACAAACACCUUGUACCAAAUCCAACUACGUCACUCAAACUUCAGAAUUCCUUCUGGAGAUCGACCCACUAUAUACGAUAUCACUAAUAAAUCUGAAAUGCACCAGCAUUCAGCAACCGAUAUCUGAACUACUCCCAACUUCCCAAGGCAUCGUGCCGUCGACACCACCACCAAUUGAUUCAGCACCAGCCACCAGGGAAUAUGCACGGAGAUGAAUCGGAAUGGCAGGAAAGGAGACGGAGAGUAGGGGGGCUGGAUUGCUACCUCGCGGAGGGAGAGCUCGGCCUUCCAUGCGGCCUCCCUCUCUACGACCUCGCGCUCACGCUCCUGGAUGUAGCUCUGCAUCUCCCGCUCCUUCAUGAUGCGGUCCUGGAGGUCCGCGUCCAGCGCCUCCUGCAGCGAACCUGCCCACCACCGCCUUGAUCCGCACAGACAUCUCGCCCACUCCUCCGAAGUCCUAAUCUACACCGCGCGGGUUCCUCUCUCCUCCUCCUCCUCCUCUCGUCUCCCUCUACCGGUGCCUCCCUCCGGCCAUAACCAUGGGCGGCCGGCGGGCUAGGGUUCCGGCGUGGCGAGGUUGGUGGGCGCCGCAAGUCUCGUGCGCCGAUGGUGUCUUCUCUUGGUCGUCUUCUAGUUUGGGCUGUAGCGCCUGCGCUGUGUGGAAGAGAAGAAGCGGGACCCAGCAACAGCGAGCUGACCCAGCAUCCGGACACCUCCUCCUCGCUUCUCUCCAUCUGUAGUUCUCGCGAUCCCUCCUGAAGCCUUCGAUCUCCUUGUGGUCCGUGUCUGUAGCGAGGAGGAGGUGGAGGAGAAAGGAAGUCGCCCCCUUCUUUUCCUUCGAUCCCCUUCUCUAUCUCGUCUCGAUCUCUGUCUCUCGAUCUGGUCGGCCGGCGUCGAUCCAGUGGAGACGGUCGAUGUCGAUCUGGUGAAGGGCGAGUGUAUGGCGUCGGGCGUUGGGGGCUGAGGCAUGGGAAGGCCGGCGGUGACCAAGGUGAGAUGCGAGUGGUGGCAACCAGUGGAGGGCAGCGAGCCGUGUCUGCGGGUGAGAUGGGCGACGCAACGGCGGCCCUCCAUGGGGAGAGAGGAAUGGGAGGUGGGGGAAAGGGAAUGACUGGAUGAAGCGUGAUGCAUGGGGUUAGUACUGACGUGGGUGGAAGAAGGGCACGAGCGUGGGUGCAGAGGCAGAGUUUUCGUCUGCCUCGGCUAAUUGCUAAACAUACUUUCGGUGAGGUUAGUUGUUAUGUUAACGAUUAGAUUUGAACGAAUGGAUCUGAUCAUGAGGUUGUAAUUGCUUUGUGUUAUUGUGUGUACAUUAGACGGGUGUGUUUAGAAAAAAAAUGUUCGAUUGUUUAUUAGUAGUAAUAGAUAUACCAACGUCCGUCUAGUCCGAACUUUAUCUGUUUGGAACGGCAAAACUGCGUUCGGAUUUUCUUAAAAAAAAGAUGCAACACAGUAAAGAUAAAAAAAAUUCUCAGUAAAAACCAACAUUAUUGAACCAAACCGAUAAAGUUCCACUCAUCGACCACGCAAGCAUCCGUCUUCAACACAUACACAACAAUAUAACAAACACUUGCGUCCAACGCGGAUAGAAGGAUGAUCAAUCCCUUCAACUCGUUAAUUGCAAGCGAUAAGCAGUGAUAGAUAGAAAAUAUAAAUAUAAAAUAAGAUAACAGUAGUAGAAAAGCAACAAUAUCUUUUAGUGUUUUUGUAAUAUGAUUUGUGAAGAACCGGGGGGCUAUAGUUUUAGCUAGACGCUUCUCUCUCGAAAAAGUAUACGGCGAGUAAACAAAUUAUUCUUGGACAAUUGAUAAAAAAAGCAUAAUUAUGUACUAUUUAUUCACUACAAUGACCACGCAUAGCAUCACGUCCAUAAAUAAGUAGACCGACUCAUGCAUGCAUCUACUAGUAUUAUUUCACUCAUCGACUGUAUCCAACAUGCAUCUAGAAUAUUAAAUAAAAACAACGCAAUGCUUGGAGCAAAGUGACAUGAUGUAGACAAAGUAAACUCAACUAAUACGAAUAAACUCCAUCGUUUUAUCCUUAAUGGAAGCAAUACAACAUGUGUCAUGUCCACUUCUGUCACUCGGAUUGAGCACCGCAAGAUUCAACUUAUCACAACGCACCCCUCCUGCUGAAGAUAAAUCAAUCUAGUUCGACAAACCAAACCGAUAUAUCGAAGAGAAAUACGAAGCUAUCAUAAUCAUGCAUAUAAAAAUAUAGAGAUGACUCAAAUACUUUUCAUGAAUAAUUUGAACAUGAAUCCAUAAUUCGUUAGAUCCCAACAAACGCACCGCAAAGAGGAUUGCAUAAGAUAGAUCGACAAGGGACUCACAACGAUCUUUGCAUUGAAGAACAUAAGAGAUAGAGAGUCAUGUAGGUACUAACUACGGGCCCUUAGGUCUGUGAUAGACCACUCACACAUCACCAUUGGAGGGGGCAUAGUUUGUAAACUUAUAAGUGAAUAGACUCGGGGGCAUAGUUUUUUCUUGGUGUCAUCUCUCAUGAAUGUAAGCAUACGGUGGGUAAACAAAUUAUUGUUUGGCGAUUGAUAGAAAAAUAUAUAGUAACAUGUCUUCAACGUACCUAUAAUUUUUUAUUGUUGCAUGCUGUUAUAUUAUCAUCCUAACAUACUUUUUGGGUCAUAAUGCACAAAUUUAUAUUAUUUUUCAGCAUUAACCUAUUAAUCCAGUGCCGAGUGUGAGUUGUUGUUUUCUGCAAGUUUUUUGUUUUUCAGGUUUUCAGUACCAAACGAAGUCUAAUUGCCAUGAAACUUUUUUAUGAUUAUUUCUGUACCAAAAGAAGAUCUGGAAGCUUCGGGAGAAGACCUGAAGCCAAAUAAGGAGCCCACAAAGCAACAGGGUGCAGACCGGAGGGAGGGCGGGUCCUGAUGCCUUGUCGCCUUACUAUGGCCCCUCUUGUCUCGUUCACUGACCUACAAAUUUUCCAAAUAUUCCAGAACCCCUACAGAUAUCCACGAAACAUUUGUUACGCUACCGCAAGUCUCUGUUCCACGACGACCCCAUCCGGGGUUCCGUUCUGGCACCUCAUACUUGUGAUGAAGAGGAACAGAUUAUCACACCACAAUGUGGGUAAGUAUUUUCCUCAGUUAUGAAACCAAGGUUUAUCGAAUCGAUAGAAAUAUCAACCACAACCGUCUUCAGCGACUGCACACAAAAGAACAACCAACACGGACAAGAGGGUUGUCAAUCCCCUUGGUCUCGUCAUUUGCAAGCAAGUGAGGUGUAUAGAUAAUUGUAGAUAAUUGUAAAUAGAAAAUAAAAUAAAAACAAGUAAAUGACAGCAAGGUAUUAUUUACAUUGCACCUAAAAUUCUGAUUUUUCUUUCACACAUUGUACUUCUCUGAUGUUUCCCCGGGCCACAAAGAUUGUCAAAAUGUUCUUUCAUUUGGGACCAAAAUAAGGAGAAAUGUUUAUGCACAAAUGGCGAGGUACAAAAUAAACUAAACUACCUUGCGUACGAUGAUUUUUUUUACGAUUUAAGUACGACAAGACACAUGCACGUUUCAAAAGGUUUGGGCCCACACCACCAAACCAGUCUGAUCGUACCAAAGUUGUAUGGAUUUCUAUCGUACGUAUAGCAACUCUCAUAAAUAAAUGGUUAGAUAAAGGGGUUGGGUGCUCUGAGGUUUAGACGCAACUUUCCCCACAAAAUAAUCGUUGCUGUCAAUGCAUGGUGGAUGUAACUAGAAAAUUUAAUCAAGCUUUACAAAUCGGGAGUAGAUCCUUGGAGUUCCGUAGCAACGCAGUCGAGGACGAGUCGGAAGAAUGAGUGGUGUCACCGGUGUUGACCAAAGAAGAGCGAACACAGCCGGAGCUGGAGGUGGAGCAGUCAAUGGAGAAAGCCUCGUACGGGCCGGCGUACGUUGCGGGGUCCGGCGUUGCCCUGUACAUGUGCAGCUGCAGCGCCGGCAGCCUGACCUCGUCGGACUGCAGGACGUGCAUGGCCUGCGCGAUGGACGGCCGCUCGCUCCUGUCCGGGUGCGCGCACCAGAGCCCGACGACGAGCGCCCGCCCCAUCCACCGCUCGUCGGCCUCGUCGCCCCUCAGCCGCUCGUCCGCCGCGUCGAUGAUCGCGUUCCUCCCGUACAGGCUCCACACCCACCUCACCAGCGUGAAGGAUUUCCCCGCGGUCUCCAUCACCGGCCGCCGGCCGGCGACGAUCUCGAGGAGGACGACGCCGAAGCUGUACACGUCCGACUCGGUGCACGGCCGCCGCGUGUUGACGAACUCCGGGUCGAUGUACCCGACGGUGCCGAGCACGGCCUUGGUAGUCUGCAUCAACCCCGUGCCGUGGUCGGCGAGCCGGGCCAGCCCGAAAUCCCCGAGCUUGGUGUUGAGCGACGAGUCGAGCAUGAUGUUGCUGGGUUUGAUGUCGCCAUGCACGAUGCAUUGCUCCCACUCUCCAUGGAGGUAGUGCAGCGCCGAUCCCAAGCCGAGGAUGAUCUUGUACCUCUGUGGCCAUGUCAGACAUCUGCCCUUGCUGUAGAGAUGCCUGUCUAGGCUGCCCUCCGAGACGAGCUCGUAGACGAGGAGGAGCCCCUUGCGGCUGUCGCACCAGCCCAGGAGCUGCACAAGGUUGCGAUGCUUCAGUCUGCUGAUGAUCCUCACCUCGGCCUCGAACUCCUUCCUCCCUUGCGCCGAUGAUUCCGUCGACAGCAUCUUUACCGCCACCGCACGACGGCCGGCGGCUGCCGAUGAGAGCGUGAGGUGACCCCGGUAAACGC
rnacentral:lncRNA from 1 species